rnacentral:rRNA from 1 species
UGGUUCCAAACAACUGAGGGAAACUUCAGCUAAUACCGGAUAAGCCCUUACGGGGAAAGAUUUAUCGCCGAAAGAUCGGCCCGCGUCUGAUUAGCUAGUUGGUGAGGUAAUGGCUCACCAAGGCGACGAUCAGUAGCUGGUCUGAGAGGAUGAUCAGCCACAUUGGGACUGAGACACGGCCCAAACUCCUACGGGAGGCAGCAGUGGGGAAUAUUGGACAAUGGGCGCAAGCCUGAUCCAGCCAUGCCGCGUGAGUGAUGAAGGCCCUAGGGUUGUAAAGCUCUUUUGUGCGGGAAGAUAAUGACGGUACCGCAAGAAUAAGCCCCGGCUAACUUCGUGCCAGCAGCCGCGGUAAUACGAAGGGGGCUAGCGUUGCUCGGAAUCACUGGGCGUAAAGGGUGCGUAGGCGGGUCUUUAAGUCAGGGGUGAAAUCCUGGAGCUCAACUCCAGAACUGCCUUUGAUACUGAAGAUCUUGAGUUCGGGAGAGGUGAGUGGAACUGCGAGUGUAGAGGUGAAAUUCGUAGAUAUUCGCAAGAACACCAGUGGCGAAGGCGGCUCACUGGCCCGAUACUGACGCUGAGGCACGAAAGCGUGGGGGAGCAAACAGGAUUAGAUACCCUGGUAGUCCACGCCGUAAACGAUGAAUGCCA